rnacentral:rRNA from 1 species
UACGUAGGGAGCAAGCGUUGUCCGGAUUCACUGGGUGUAAAGGGUGCGCAGGCGGGAGAGUAAGUCAGAGGUGAAAUCUCACAGCUUAACUGUGAAACUGCCUUUGAUACUGCUUUUCUUGAGUUCGGGAGAGGUUGAUGGAAUUCCAGGUGUAGCGGUGAAAUGCGUAGAUAUCUGGAGGAACACCGGUGGCGAAGGCGGCAUCCUGGACCAAUACUGACACUGAGGAGCGAAAGCCAGGGGAGCAAACGGG